UGACAUAAAGCCUUCAGGGCUCCAAGAGUGCUCUGUUUUGAAUCUCCUACCUGUCAUCCCGAAUCCCAGACUUGCUGCCUAAUACCCUCUGACCUCUACACAACCUGCCCUGAUGUGCACAGUUUCAAGAGUCUCUGGGGCUUCUAGUCAACCCAUCCUGUCUCCAGCAGCUCUGGAGUCUGCUGUGACUGUGCUGGCUCCCACCUCUCUUGGCUCAGAGACAAGAGCUGCUUGCUGUGUGCUGUCUUCAUAGAUGCUGGGCUCGUUCACGCCUGAUAAGCCCCACUCUGCCACUCUCCCCAGUGAUGGUGGCUUCCAGAGAAAUGCUCUGGGACGACGAGAUAAGAAGCACUGCCAACUGAAGAGCAGUCAGAAGUGAAGACGAAACAACUCUGAUGGUCUAGAGAUGCGGCUCACUUGGCAAAGUGCUUUCCUAGCGUGGCCGGAGCCCCGGGUGUGAUACCCACCACUGCCGAAAUUAGGCACGGUAGUGCCCACGAACUGUCCCAGCACCAGAGCGGGAGAGGCAGAGGAACCAAAGUUCAAGGUCAUCCUCAGCUACACAGGUUCCAUCCAAUUCUUAGGAAAAGUCAAGUAUCUACUUCCACAAUGACUGGCGACAUCACACAGUGGUCUGAGGCGUAUACAGGCCAUUUGAGGUGGACUCACCAACUAUGGCAGCUUGUCUGGAAUUGGGAGGCUUCCUGGGACUUGGAACCUGCAGCAUUAAGAGCAGGAAACUCCCAGCUUUCUUAGUCUUGCUCUGCGCGGAGGUGAGGACAGAGUGAAGGAAGGAGGAAGUCUCCCAGAGAAGCAAGAAAAAGACUAAAUGCCAUGGACUUUGCAGAAUUGCCUAGGGUUGGUCAUAAUGCUAAUUUUAUUAAUAAUGAGCUACCUAAAAUUUCUGGUUGUUUUUCUGUGUAGACUGGAUCAACUCUUUGAGUAUGGGGCCCUCAUGUCUGGGGGGACUUUAUUUAAUUAAUUGUUUUGUUUUGCUUGAUUGUUUGUUUUCGAGACAGGGUUUUCUCUGAGUAGCCUUGGCUGUCCUGGAACUCGCUCUGUAGACCAGGCUGGCCUUGAACUCUCAGAAAUCCACCUGCCUCUGCCUCCACCUCCUGAGUGCUGGAAUUAAAGGUGUGAGCCACCACCCCACCCCACAUCUGGGGGGUGUUUGAAUCUCAUGCUUCUGUCAGGUGCCCAGCCCUGAGUCACAUGCUGAGCUGUUCCAAUAAAAUGGCAGGAGACGGAGAAUUCUAGAUCUCAACGCCAGCUCUGCUCUUGACCUUCCAAAAGACAACUAUUUAUCACUUAAAAGAGUUUUGUUUUGUUUUUGUUUUUUAACCUCAGACAAUAAAGAAUAAACAGCUGGAAAACCAGGAGAGUGAAACAGCUGUUUGGUGAAUGCUACCAGAUAACGGAAAAGGAAUUUAUAUUUGAUCCUUUGCUCCCCACCCUCAGAUUCAAGAGGAUCAGGGGGAGAUAUGACCUAGACAAACAAGCCUCAGGGGUUCCAGAACCUCCUCAUCCUGAGGAGGGUCACAGCUGUCCCCCUGGCGCAACACACCAAAGGAUGCUGUUCACAGCAGGAUCUGGAGAAAAUGCUAUCAGACCGGGACUUGGGAUGGGAGCAAAGGAAGCCAUAUGCAAACGCCAUCAGUGAAGAAUUCUCUUUUAGAGGACAGUUCCAGCCAGCCGCUUUGCUUUCAAUUAGAAGCCUUAAUAAAGACUAAUAGUUAGAAAAUGGAUUCAUGCUGCAGUCUUCUCCGGCAAGCCUUUAUCACGUUAAUAAGCAAGAACUGGUGUUGGGAUGCUGGAGUGAAGGGAGGCGCUGGCCAGGACUCUCUUCUCGUUUGACCCCUAACUGGCUAUUGCCCUUGAGAGAAUCAUUUAACCCUCUCCAUGCUUCCUUUUCUUCAUCUUUAAAAGAGGGUCUUAGCCUAGAUGGCCACCAGGAUCCCUUCCGCCUCUGAUGCGAUCUAGGAGGCGUUCUACAGCAAGGCCUGGGGCUAAUGUUUCUUAAUGUCCUCUCCCUGCUGAACCCUGUUACCUUUCAUCCCCCACACAGGGAAUGUCAUGUUGUUAAUGAGUAGGUUUCAAUACAUGCAGACGACAGAGCUUUUGUGUGGAUUGGGAAGCAUGAAGGUUUCCCUUUCAGCUUGCAGAGGGUUCUAACAGAAGCUGGUCACACCCCCACACAAGGGAAAAAGAAGCAGGAAGAAUCCUGAAAAUCUGGGACUCGGUUGCAGGCAGAGAAAAAGCAUCGUGUUGGUAUUUUUAAAGAGCUUUCCACUCCGUGUGCAACACCUUUGUGCCUCCUUCAUGUGUUUCUCCCUCUUUUUAGCUCCACAAUGAGCUAUUUCAGGAUGUCGCCUGCCUGCGGUACAGCCAUGCAGUUGAGAGGCAAUUUAAUUGUCAUGGUUCCUUUUCUUAGUCUUUCAAGACCUUUUGUUAUGGUGAAAUAAUUUUAGGCAUUCCAAGCACAAAUCCAUUAAAUUCUUGCCUUACUUUACUAAUGAACUACUGUGGGUGGGAAAAUUAAUUUUAUUCCACCCAUGAAACAUAUCUGAUAAAUUUCUAGAGUUGAGAAACGAAGCUUGCAAAUACCAAGAGUUGAAUACGACUCUUAAAAAAUAACUUUGUUUCCCUUAUGCCAAGGUGGAGCAGAAGAGAAGUCUAUAAAAAUAGUUCACAAGAGGCUGGAGAGAUGGCUCAGCAAUUAGGAGCACUGGCUCCUCUAGAGGACCUGGAAUUCCCAGCACCCACAUGGCGGUUCACAACUGUCUGUAACUCCAGUUCCAGGGGAUCUGACACCCUCACAGAGACACACGUGCAGGCCAAACACCAGUGCACAUAAAAUAUUAAAAUAAAACAAUUUUGUUAAAAAAAAAAAGUUUGCAAAAUGAAAAUAGUUCAAGAGGUCCCAUCUCAGGUUGAUGUGGUGGGGAAUUUUACAGGUUGCUGUCUGCCUAGAGACACAAGGGACCUUGCGUUAGUGAACUGGAGACUCUUCCGAGUGGCCGUGAUGAGAUCAGAUGUUAACACAUUUGUUUAAGGCGUGGUGCUGCCCAGCUCUGAGGGAAAGCAUUUGCAUAGCCUGGGUAGGUCCCGUGGUGCUGAAGGGCCACAGUCUACAGCUCACCCAGCACUGCUCACCCCACCACCCAGGCUGUGGCCAUGGCAUUUCUCUGCUGGUUUACCCACCUCGAGGACAGGAGAACAAGUGAGAAGGCUGUGCACAGAUAUACCAACAAGGGCUGGAGAAGCCGCAGCAUGGACAGGCAAGGGACAGCUCUGGCUGCAUUGUUCCUUGAACAGGAAACCAGGCAUCGUCACCCUCACAUAGGGGAAGGCAGGAGGUUGGGCUAAAAAAAAAAAGGGUAAAGAACACAGUUCAAAGGGAAGGUUUCUCUUUAGGGAGAUCAGCAGAAGUCCUAAGGCAAGAAAGGUCAGAGUCCUGUCCCCAAAGAUAAAAAAGUUUCCCAAUUACUGAGGCCCUUGAUGAGCGUGGAAUUCAGAUCGACUAUUCCGUGCUUCCUCAUUUCAAUCAGUCCCUUUCAAAGCCAAUUCAUGGGAGUGCAUUAGGUAGAGAAGUAGCCUGCUGAUUCUCCUUCGGUCAAAUUUAAUUCCAAUCUCGGCCUCUAAAUGUUUUCAAACUGCUCUAAAGAGUUCUCGGUGUCUGGUGCCUUCCCCU